rnacentral:rRNA from 1 species
CCUACGGGGGGCAGCAGUGGGGGAUAUUGCACAAUGGGGGGAACCCUGAUGCAGCGACGCCGCGUGGGUGAAGGAGCGUUUCGGCGCGUAAAGCCCUAUUGGUAGGGAAGAAGAUGACGGUACCUGACCAAGAAGCCCCGGCUAACUACGUGCCAGCAGCCGCCGUAAUACGUAGGGGGCAAGCGUUAUCCGGAUUUACUGGGUGGAAAGGGGGCGCAGACGGGAGUGCAAGCCAGGAGUGAAAGCCCGGGGCCCAACCCCGGGACUGCUCUUGAAACUGCAUGUCUGGAGUACAGGAGGGGUAGGCGGAAUUCCUGGUGUAGCGGUGAAAUGCGUAGAUAUUAGGAGGAACACCGGUGGCGAAGGCGGCCUGCUGGACUGUGACUGACGUUGAGGCCCGAAGGCGUGGGGAGCAAACAGGAUUAGAUACCCCAGUAGUC